GUAGAGCCAUUGUAACUAGGCCAGCAGGUGUCGCUGUGCAUAUGUAGUUACUAAACCUCACUCCUAACAGCUCAAAAAAGGAUUAUCUGGUCACAAGACCAGAGCCCUGGGAUUUUGCAUUCUGGUUAGAGAGUCCGACUCCCAUGCUGAAGAUCGUGAGUUCACAUCCCGAGCGGAGU